UUUAGGUAGCAAAGGCUCGCUUUGGCUUUAAAAAAUCGUUUCUGCAAGAAAGCCCUCGAAUCUCAGAGGCAGCGAUGCUUCCAAAUAAAAGCGCCCAAUGGGAGCUUCCUCUUCUCUCCCUCUUAAGCCCACGUAUGCCCGGCCCGGGCAGGGCACGCUGGCUCCAUUAUCCGCGCACACCAUCAAUGGGUAUCUGCACGUCAGGCGCCGCAUAAUAAGCGUGGACUCAUCGUGGUCAUGGAGGCUAGCUACUUCCCUUCCUGAGGAGUGACGGCCAUGCAUGGCCUCGUCGAUAGCGACGGCCUUAUUUUCCUCUCUAGCUACUAAGGUAGGGCAACUUGUAUCCUUUGGCAAUUGUUCGCGGGGGGGGUGUCGAUCUCUUGGGGGUGGGGUGAAGAUUGGAGGAUGAUGAACCUUGUGUUCUUGGCGAUAUCAAGGGGGUGAUGGAAAGUGGUGUGAUGGUUCUGGCUAUAUCUUGUGUUCUUUGUUCUAAUAAUUAGUCCAUUAGCGUUGUGUUGCAUGCUACUCCUUUGCUACCCCGUACCUCUAUUGACCACUGUCAUCAAUAAAAUGAUUUUGAAUAUAU